UUUACCACUUUUACAACCCUCAAAACACUCUCAAAAUUCACUUUAAGUCACUCAAAAAUUCCCAGCUUUGAGCAGAAAGUUUAAGCCAUUCAAAUAUAUGCAUGUUGAGGAUUGAUGAUGCUAUUAAAAUGGACUAGCAAAGAUGCCUAGAUACACACUUAGACGUUUAGGUUUAGAGUGUUGUAUAAAUUUUGUUAUGUUAUGCUGAACAAUGUUGUUAAUGGAAUUUCUUGUAAUGUUUUGACAAUUUAUCUAUGAA
rnacentral:lncRNA from 1 species